GUAAAGAUUUUUGGCUUUUUUUUAUUAUGGAAAAGUAGCUUAUAUGAAAAUUUUUGUAGUAUAAAAUUUUAUUUUUAAAUAGAAUAAAAUUAUUUUAUUGAAUCUCAGUAAAAAAAAUUGUUAUUUUAAGAAAUUUAAGAGACAGUAAUAUUUUUAAGUAUGGGCUAAAUUUGUGCCAGCAGUCGCGGUUACACAGGUUAUGCAAUAAUAAAUGUUCAGUCUAUAGUAAGUUUAUUAAUUAAAGAAAUUUUCAAAAAAUUUAUUAAGUGAAAUUUUUAAAUUUUUAUUUAUUUUGUAAAUAAAAGCAAAACUAAUAAAAUUUUAUUAUAAACUAGGAUUAGAUACCCUAUUAUAAAAAAGAUAAAUUUUAAAGCUAGAUUAGUAUUAGUUAUAUUCUUCAAAAUUAAGAGAUUUGGCGGUAUUUUAGUCUAUUCAGAGGAACCUGUCCUGUAAUUGAUGAUCCACGUUUUAAUUUACUUAUUUUUUAAGUUUAUAUAUCGCCGUAGAUUGAAUAUUUUUUAAGAAUAAAUAAUGUUCAAGAUUUCUUGUUUAGAGAAUAAAUCAGGUCAAGAUGUAGUUUAUAGAUAAGAAGAGAUGGGUUACAAUAAAAAUAUUUAGACGGAAAAAUAGUUGAAAAUUAUUUUUAAGGUGGAUUUGAAGGUAAUUUUAUUUAAAUUUAUAAGAUGAUUAUAGCUCUAAGAUAUGUACAUAUCGCCCGUCGCUUUCAUUACAAAAUGGAAUAAGUCGUAACAUAGUAGGUGUACUGGAAAGUGUACCUAGAAAGAA
rnacentral:ncRNA from 1 species